rnacentral:misc_RNA from 1 species
GAGAACCACAGAAUUUCUAAAUCUGUAAAUUUUAAAAUUAUGGCGUUUAGGCCUUCCCGUGUAUCCAUGGAGUGUUAUGCAAUAUGUUGAAUGAAUUUGUAGCUGUUAUGUGGUUAACGGCAAAUCUUCUGGUGCAUCUAUUUGACCUUUUUAAAUCACUUCUCUUCUAUAUAAAUUUAGUGAUUCAUAUGUGAAAUAAUUUCUCUUGUUUUAU